rnacentral:misc_RNA from 1 species
GUAGGUGAACCUGCGGUUGGAUCAUUAACAAAUUUAAAAGAUCGAUUGAAAUUUUUUUUCAAUCUUUCUCAACAUUAUGUGAACUUUUUAUUGUAUCUUGGGUGAUUGUUGUUAAGGUUUUUUUUUAAAAGGCUGGAAAACUUCACCAAAAUUAAACUUUUUAAAUAAUAUUAACUUGUCUUGAAUUUUAAUUAUUAUCUUAAUUUAAAACAACUUUUGACAACGGAUCUCUAGGCUCUC